UCACCGUGUCACAGAGCACCCAGCCUAGUCCUGCGGGUCCUGGCCCAGCUGCCCGGGAUACAGCUAAGCUCAGGCCAUUUCUCUUUGCAUUCAAAGUGGGUGGCUGAAGUCCUGCCUACGUGAGAUGUUCCCUUCCCCAUCGUCUCUCGGGAGUGGGCCCCCCUACUUCUCUGUCGGGACCUUGGCUCUAGCAGAGAAGAAUUGGUGAGGCUGUGAACUCGGCCAUCUCUGAGGUCCUGCUUUUGGUAAAAUGACCCAGGCCAGGUCGUCUGUGGGUGCAGGGGCAUCUGCUGUGCUGCCACAAGGCCCGUCCUAACCACCUCAGAGUAACGUGGUUAUCAGUACUCACCUCACUUCACACCUGAUCGGUUCACCAGUGUGGGGGAUUAGGACUCUGCGUCUUUGGGAGCUGCCACAGUGCAGUGUAACAGAUGGUACUGGGUGUUGGCCCAGGGCCCACUGUGCACUGCUGUCGCUCUGCGGUCUCCACUCCAGACCACCUCCACUGUGGGUACCAUCUGAACCCGCACUUUGUCUGCAAGACUCUGCUCCACUCUCAACACCAGAGUCUCAAGAAGAAAGCAAGCUGCGGCCGUGGUCAUUUUCAUCCCAUUUCUACCAACGUGCAGCUAGUAACUUCUCUCAUGAAAGAACAAGUUUGCUUUCCCUGCACAAGCCAGCACCCACACCGCAAGCCCUGCCUCCGAGGCUUUGGCGAAGGGCAGGACUGCACAUCCUGCUCUUCCCGGGCCCUGCAGCUGGCCCUGUGUGACUCCCGAGGCCGGGAUCAGGAGUGCUGGGAGCCAGAGGUUUCCACUCUUUAUAAUUAUUCAUUAACUGCUGGAAAGCCUGGAUUUUGCAGAAUUUGCAUCCUGACAUCACCAAGAAAUCAAUGAUAUUUAUUUUUUUAGAAAGAUACUUUGUAUCCAUGGUUGUCAAAGGCAUUUUCAUGCUGCAUGUCUUUGUUUCUUCUGAAAUAAGCCACCACAGCUUGGAAGAACCUAGUAGAAUAUGAUCUGGUUGGUGAUUUUCCCCCACUGACUUAAAUCCAGAAGAAAAAAAAAAACAAAGCCAACCUGAAUGAUGAAUGGUGCUUUCUAGAGGCUGGGGAAAGGCUGGUAAAGGGAGGCCAGAUUUGACACACAUAUUGAAAUAUCACACUGAACCCUGUUGCCAUGUGCAAUUAAUACAUGUUAAUGAAAAUAGUCUUGAAGGUAGGAGGAUCAAGACCAUGGCGUGGUCUACAUUGCAUUUCCCUUUUAGACAUGACGGAUCCAGGGGUUUUCCAGGUCAAUUCUGCAUCGGAACAGAGGAGGACAUUGUACCACGGAGGCCGUGGUGAUUUUUCUGAGGUCCAGGGCUGGCUUGUGUGUUAGCUAGGACCAGAACGCAGGACCGCUGGCCCCUAGCUGAGGUCAGUGUCAACUGUACAAGGAUGAAGGAGAGGAAAGGGAGAGGAAGAAACUCAAGUAUCAGGAUCAACAGGAAAGGUUAGACCCCAAAGGGUUCCUGCCAAGCAUUAACUUCAUGGGAGG